ACUUAUAAAUAAGCAGUCCAUUUCACAACAAGAAUUAAAUGAGGCACAUACAUAUUUGAAGCUUUUCACUGCUCAAGCUCCUGUCUUUUAUGAUUGUUACAGCAGUGUCAAUAAUCCAGAAGUUGCCUGAAAUUGCAAGAUCCACGACCACCUCUCCUGAAGUCCAGGCAUUCUAUGAACAGCUAACUAGCAAGUGUUACAAUGCAUGGUAAUCAAAUGUCACAUUGUUGAUUUUGUUAAGUCUGUGCCAGUGAGAUUUUGCACAUACUAUCAGACAGAUAUGCAUCAACACAGUGAAGUUUA
rnacentral:misc_RNA from 1 species